ACACAGGUAGUAUAUAAGUACAGUUGCCUUCCAAGCAGAAAGCCCAAAUAUGGCCAGUGUA
rnacentral:tRNA from 1 species